rnacentral:lncRNA from 1 species
CGCCAGACGGCCGUUUAGAUGUCACUAAGGAAAGACUGUGGUGCUCUUUAACAAUUUCUGCGCAAAUGGUGCUUUACUGAAAUUGCUCCAAAGGUUCUACCGUGACCACCAUUGAACUCUCGUGACCUUUAGACAGUCUUCAGAGUCGAUAUCGGAUAUGUCAAAGACCAAAUGUAUCGGUCUUGCUGAGCGUUUCUUGCUUUUUGUACCCCGGGAUGUGGCUUAUCAUUUAAUGAUCCAAUGCAAUUUGGUUGAAUUUGUAGAUGAUUUGGGUUAUUGUAAAGGCUACAAUUUCAGUCUUCUCGUAAAUGUAUGCUGUGUAAGGCUUCAUUGGAUCAUGCUCAAAACUGCAUGUCGCUGGUUGUCAGAAAGUUCUGGCAUUUACUCAUAUGUUUAUUGAAGUUUCUUAACAAUAAGGUCG